rnacentral:snoRNA from 1 species
AAGACUAUACUUUCAGGGAUCAUUUCUAUAGUUCGUUACUAGAGAAGUUUCUCUGAUCGUGUAGAGCACCCGAAACCACGAGGAAGAGACGCAGCGUUUUCUCCUGAGCGUGAAAAAAAAUAAAUAAAUAAAAUAAAAUGCACGUGUGUGU